ensembl:lncRNA
AGGUUAAGCCCCAAAGCCUCUCCACAGCUUCAGCCAGUCCUGGCUGGACAGGGGACUGCUGUGAGAGCAAGUCUCAGAGCACAGCCCUUAAUCCCCUGGCAGCUUUCAGUUAUCUUCUAGGAGAAUUCAUUACUGCAAGGUCUGGUGGUAAGCAUCACAAGACUACUUCAGUUCCACAGUGGGACGGGGCACCAGACCGAGUGGGAGAUAGGCAGAAGCCGAGAGAGAAAUUGUAUCUACAGUGUCCCAGAGCCUCAGAGGCAGAACCACUGGGCUCCAUUCACCUUCAUAAGGUAAAAAAAAAAAAAAACCUUGGCUUACUUAUUAGGUCAGAUUUUCUCUUGCCCAGAGAUAUGGGAGACUGGCAGAACAGCUUGGGAAUGGAGGAAUUUGUUAACUGCAUGCAGUAGGCUUUUAAUAUUUAAUCUGCAAACUCAAGCAGUUUCUAUUUAAACCCUCUGCCUUCAUUCUGGUACAGUCCCAAGGCUUCUUCUGUUUGCACCAUAGGUACAACAGUCCAAUCUAGCUUCUCUUCUCUUUGAAGAUUUUGGUUGUGUGCUGAAAUUCUUUGUUUGUCUAGAGCUUAUGCCUCAUUUGUCUAAAGGGUUUAUUUUAUUUACAUGGCAUGCAGAUGGGAUUGGUGCGUGGCAUUCCUGAUAAAGCAUCCUCAUUUCUCUGAAUGAACUUAUGAACAUGAAAAAUUCAAAACUUGCUGUGAUAAAGUAAAUAAAAGUGAUAACCAAUGGAAGAGCUUUUGAAUAUAACUUGAAUGGAAUUGUUAUAGACCUGAAGAAGCUUGAAAGUGCAGGGAAGUCAGAAGUUGCUUGUGAAAAUCCCAUUUCCUCCACGGGAUUAACUCACAGUAUUUAUUAAGUUCUUCAGAAAGGAAAAUGUCUAACCUUAAGUUCUCUUUGCACUUGAAGUUGUACCAUCAAUAAUUAAUCUCUUUCCCCUUUAACUUUUAGAGGAGAAGCUGAAAUUCAAUUUUUUUUUCCAGCUGUAGUAUUUCUGUGCAAAAUUUUAUUUGCAGCAAAGACUAUUUAAGGAAUGCUGGAUAAAUGUCUGGGAUAAAAAUACAAGAGAUUUAUUAGCUUUAUUAGCUUUAACAAAUCCUAGAGAUGUAUUAGCUUUUCUUUAUAGGAGAAUGUUUUGCAACUCUUUUCUUUAAAAUACAAAAUAUGCAAACAAACAUCAGAGUCUAGAGGAUGCUAAACAGAAGUAUAUUUAUAGUGUACAUCAACUUGAAGUAACCCAUGGUUUUGGCCUUUAUUUAUUUGAAAUGCUGACACAAAGCAGAGCAAAAUUCCAGGGACUGCUCCCCCUUGGGACAAAUGUUUUGGGGUGAGGCUGAGAUUGUUUCUUGUCAAAUGCUGGCAAUCCAAGAAAGCGAUUAGAGGUGACUGCUGCUUUGUAGCACCCGCAGUGCUGACUAACUCCUAGGCACAAAACCCAACUUUUAUUCAUGCUGACACAGAUAGCUCUGCCGGACUUGCCUUUCUGUAUCUGUUCCUCACGUAUUUUCCUUUUCCCUUACAAGAGUCUGUGACCUGAAGGCUGAGCUCAAGGAAGCUCCCUGCUAAGCCUCUGCCAGCUUCCCCUUGCUCUGCCUGCUGACCUCUGCUCGCCCCGAACGUCCCCUAAAAUGGAGCGAUCCACACAAGAACUUUUCCUCAACUUCAUGAUUGUCCUCAUCACUGUGCUGCUCAUGUGGCUCCUGGUGAAGUCCUAUCAGGAGUAAAGGACGGUCAGAAACUCUCAGAGCUGGUCUGGAUCUCUGUGGGCAGACACCAGUAACACCACUGCACAUCUCUGUUACGAGCUUUCGGUCAAUUUGGAAUGCCGUGAUCUUUUUUACUCUCUAGUCUCUGUUGCCUGUGUUCAUGUUUGUAAUGGGUCUGUGAUGGUGUAAUUAUUUUAUUCUGCACUGAUCCAGCUGUAAAAUGCAAGAUCCUUAGGAAAUGUUCUAUUUGGCUGUAAGUGCUGUGCCCCUCUGCCCAUGUGCCCUCUUCUUUGGUGUCAGGGCAGGGUAUAACCUCUGCAGCAUGUAGUGGGUCUGUCUGUCAGCCAGCUUAAAAGGUACAGACUUGCUUAGCAGAAAGAAAUGUGAAACCCUUGCUUUCGCUUGAUCUUGUUUCACCUCAAUAAAGAACAUGUAAAACUGUUUUUUGUAGCUUUUCUGACUGCUGUUCACUGGAAGAUCGACUGAUAGCUGCAGCAUGGUGCGUCACACAACUCUGGUGGUUUGGUUGCCUCUCUCCCCUGGAUUUUUAUUUGCCCUUUAUAAAAAAUUGCUGUAUAGUGACAAUUAUGAUCCUGCAGGUUAGCUGAUGCUCAGCCACACAGGAUGAGCUGAUUCCAGCAACUUUUAUGUCCAGUGUGACUUACCCCACCUGUGCUGUGAAGGUGGACUUCAAAGAGAACGUCUAUCUCAUAGAUAAUUGCAUUUUCUGAAGCUGGAUUUUGAAUGAGGAUUCCCAGAGUCCUAUUUAGGACUGAGAUGUGCUUGUUGGAACUGUGCCUGUGGAGAGGAGCUGAUGCUGUGCUGCAAAGGAGUGGAACUAGAUGAUAUUUAAGGUCCCUUCCAACUCAGGCCAUUCUGUGAUUCUAUGAACUUUGUAGGUCUCUUCUAUCUGGACUACUCUACUCUACUCCACUCUACUCUAUGCUAUUCUUUCUAAAAAGCACAGCUUUCCACAAGAAGGCAGCAGUAGCGGUGCCAUGCUGCUGACACAGACCUCUUUGCUCUGCAGGAUCCUGUAUGGGGUGGAAAAAACUUCGGGGCUGUGUUUAGAGCUACUGAAGUCUGCAUCCUGGGGUUUUUAGGUGGAGCUGUAACUGCCGGGACAGCGUUAAGGAAAGAGAGAAAAUGGUGUGUGAUAGCACUGUUUGUUACAUGUGUCUGAUGCUUAGAGACUGCUGGGAACAGCCCCAUUGUUCUGGGUUGUUUUGUCUACCGUGGUGUCUUCCCACCCCUCCAGGAAACACUCGUGCUGUUGCAAUGAGAAAUUUCAACUGUUGUUUACUC